AUCUAGACCCGAUUGCAGUGGAAAUCCUUUUAUUUUUUUUCUUUAAAAAAAUAAAAGAUUGUAAUGAAAAGCGGGACAACUG
rnacentral:sRNA from 1 species